AAAACUUUCAACAACGGAUCUCUUGGUUCCGGCGUCGAUGAAGAACGCAGCGAAAUGCGAUACGUGAUGUGAAUUGCAGAUUGUGAAUCAUCGAAAUUUUGAACGCACAUUGCGCCCAUUAGUAACCUAUUGGGCACGUCUGUUUGAGCGU
rnacentral:rRNA from 1 species